rnacentral:rRNA from 1 species
AGAGUUUGAUCAUGGCUCAGGACGAACGCUGGCGGCAUGCCUAAUACAUGCAAGUCGAACGAUGAAUCUCUCUGCUUGCAGAGAGAGGAAGGGUGGCGAACGGGUGAGUAACACGUGAGGAACUUGCCCAUAAGUGGGGGAUAACAUCCGGAAACGGGUGCUAAUACCGCAUACGUAACACAGUCGCAUGAUUGUGUUAUAAAAGGUGGCUUUGCUACCGCUUAUGGAUAGCCUCGCGGCGCAUUAGCUAGUUGGUGGGGUAAGGACCUACCAAGGCGAUGAUGCGUAGCCGACUUGAGAGGGUGAUCGGCCACACUGGGACUGAGACACGGCCCAGACUCCUACGGGAGGCAGCAGUAGGGAAUCUUCCACAAUGGGUGCAAGCCUGAUGGAGCAAUGCCGCGUGAGUGAAGAAGGACUUCGGUUCGUAAAGCUCUGUUGUUAGAGAAGAACAAGGAUAGGAGUAACUGUCUAUCCCUUGACGGUACCUAACCAGAAAGUCACGGCUAACUACGUGCCAGCAGCCGCGGUAAUACGUAGGUGACAAGCGUUGUCCGGAUUUAUUGGGCGUAAAGCGAGCGCAGGCGGUUCCUUAAGUCUGAUGUGAAGCCCACGGCUUAACCGUGGAAUGGCAUUGGAAACUGGGGAGCUUGAAUAUA